UACGUAGGGUGCAAGCGUUGUCCGGAAUUAUUGGGCGUAAAGAGCUCGUAGGCGGUUUGUCGCGUCUGCUGUGAAAAUCCGGGGCUCAACCCCGGACUUGCAGUGGGUACGGGCAGACUAGAGUGUGGUAGGGGAGACUGGAAUUCCUGGUGUAGCGGUGGAAUGCGCAGAUAUCAGGAGGAACACCGAUGGCGAAGGCAGGUCUCCGGGCCAUUACUGACACUGAGAAGCGAAAGCAUGGGGAGCGAACAGG
rnacentral:rRNA from 1 species